UCUUCUUCAUUUCUUUUUCAUCUUCCUUACUUCUUCUCUGUCUUUUUCUUCAUUUUUUUCCCUUUACAAGUGCAUGACAAAAGUACAAUCAAUAUUCAAAUCCAAUCCUACAAUGAAUCAAAACUAAAACUUAAUUUCUACAAACUAAAAUCCAAAACCCAGAAGUCAUAAUCUAUAACUUGCAAAGGGGUGUUGACAGAGACCAUCAAAAUCCUCAAAAUUCGGCGAGCAAAACCUGAAUUAUUUGCGUCCUUAAUGUCACUGUAGAACCAUACAACUCACCGUCGAUUUAAUCGUGUCAUUCAUUGUAUGAACAAUCAAUCAACUCAACAAUCUCAGGCGAAAGCACUGCCAUAGCAUCGCAGAGAGCUUCGUCUUAAUUCUUCUUCUUUGGCAGUCAAGAGAGUCAUUGAUUCCUCUUAUCACAACCAUUCAGCAGUCAAGACCCAUACUUCUUUUGCUCUUUUCCAAUCGAGAAUGACCACGGCGCGGCUAUGACAGCCGUGGAGUUGUAGGCCGUCGUGGACAUCAUCUUACAACAACUUUUUAACAUCGCGACCACCCAUGAUUGUUUCUAAGGUUUGGGAUUGUUGUUUCAAAUUUUUAUUUUGUUCGUUCAAUUGAGCUACUGUUACUAGAAAAUUAGGAAUUGUUGUAAUUUGAUAUUUGGGAUUCCUUAAUUUUAGAUUAUGAAUAAUCUUUAAUAUUGAAUUAACCAUAUUAUUAAUAAUAGAUUGAAUUUACUUUAUUAUUGUUUAUUAUUUUCAGUUUGGUGAAUAAGCAAAGGAUUUGAAGAAUUUUGGGUUGUGUGCAAUGAUAGUGGUUUUUGGUGAGAAGAGUUUUGAAGCUUUAGAUUAAGUCUGUGGUAGCAUUUUUCUUUUGUUCUUUGAUUUUUAUUAUAUGCAUAUAUUUUUUUAAAU
rnacentral:lncRNA from 1 species